ACAGUUUAAGAUAAAACAGAGGCUUAGCUGUCAGCUCUGGCCCGCAGGGAAUCAGGAAAGUGAUAAAGCAAGUAAAAGAUUCAUAGAUUUCAAAAUGUGAGAAAAGGAAGUAGGGCAGAUUGUCUCCUGAGUACAGGUGCAAAACAGAAAGGUGGAAUGGAUAGCCUUUGUGAAGCCUCAGCUCUACCAUGAAGGUCCUCUUCAGGAGAAUAAUCCAGAGUGUCUCGAAUCAAUAAUUAACCUGCAUUCUGAACCUGGCAGUGAUUUCUCAGACAUUUGGUUCCCUGACUGCACAGCUCUCAUCCAUUCUGCCUGUGUAGAAAAAGGCUUUUCUACUCAAAAUUCAUGAUACUGGAAACAUUCCUACAGAAUGAUACAGAGUCUAGCCCUGCACAAUUUUCUACAGAUUUUCCAAUGUGCUGUUCUUGUGUUAAUCUUCAUCUGAGCAGUGUGCAUGAACAGACUGACAUCAACAUUUGUACUGAGGGAAGAAAAUAAAU